rnacentral:rRNA from 1 species
AACGAACGCUGGCGGCAUGCCUAACACAUGCAAGUCGAACGAAGCCUUCGGGCUUAGUGGCGAACGGGUGAGUAACGCGUGGGAACCUGCCCCUGAGUGGGGAACAACCGCUGGAAACGGCGGCUAAUACCGCAUACGCCUCUUCGGAGGGAAAGCUUUAUGCGCUCAGGGAGGGUCCCGCGUCCGAUUAGCUAGUUGGAGGGGUAAAAGCCCACCAAGGCGACGAUCGGUAGCUGGUCUGAGAGGAUGAUCAGCCACACUGGGACUGAGACACGGCCCAGACUCCUACGGGAGGCAGCAGUGGGGAAUAUUGGACAAUGGGGGCAACCCUGAUCCAGCAAUGCCGCGUGCGUGAAGAAGGCCUUAGGGUUGUAAAGCGCUUUCACCCGUGACGAUGAUGACGGUAGCGGGAGAAGAAGCCCCGGCUAACUCCG